GAUGAACGCUGGCGGCGUGCCUAAUACAUGCAAGUAGAACGCUGAAGGAAGGAGCUUGCUCUUUCCGGAUGAGUUGCGAACGGGUGAGUAACGCGUAGGUAACCUGCCUGGUAGCGGGGGAUAACUAUUGGAAACGAUAGCUAAUACCGCAUAACAGUAGAUGUUGCAUGAUAUCUACUUAAAAGGUGCAAUUGCACCACUACCAGAUGGACCUGCGUUGUAUUAGCUAGUUGGUGAGGUAACGGCUCACCAAGGCGACGAUACAUAGCCGACCUGAGAGGGUGAUCGGCCACACUGGGAAUGAGACACGGCCCAGACUCCUACGGGAGGCAGCAGUAGGGAAUCUUCGGCAAUGGACGGAAGUCUGACCGAGCAACGCCGCGUGAGUGAAGAAGGGUUUCGGGUCGUAAAGCUCUGUUGUAAGAGAAGAACGAGUGUGAGAGUGGAAAGUUCACACUGUGACGGUAUCUUACCAGAAAGGGACGGCUAACUACGUG
rnacentral:rRNA from 1 species